rnacentral:rRNA from 1 species
CCUACGGGGGGCAGCAGUGAGGAAUAUUGGUCAAUGGGCGCGAGCCUGAACCAGCCAAGUCGCGUGAGGGAGGACGGCCCUACGGGUUGUAAACCUCUUUUGCCGGGGAGCAACGGGCGUCACGUGUGGCGCCACUGAGAGUACCCGGAGAAAAAGCAUCGGCUAACUCCGUGCCAGCAGCCGCGGUAAUACGGAGGAUGCGAGCGUUAUCCGGAUUUACUGGGUGUAAAGGGAGCGUAGACGGCGAUGCAAGCCAGAUGUGAAAGCCCGGGGCCCAACCCCGGAACUGCUCUGGAAACUGUGCG